GGGACAGUAGCCAGCAGCUGCCCCAGACCAGACACUGGAAAUCGGGAUGUUGACAGGGCAGCCAGUUCUGGUGCUGUGCAGAGUCAACAGGUCGGGGUGGCCAAGGUGAAGGUGGGCUCGAGUCCAUACAGAGCGGCAACUCCCAUCCCACCUCCCACAACACACAUCUUUGAUUUUGAUUUGACUUGCCUGGCAUCUAGGGGCAAAGGGUGGCCCAGGGUCCCAGAUUUUAACAAUCAUCCAAGGGCUAUCAUAAGCUUCAGAGGGUGGCUUUGUCU
rnacentral:lncRNA from 1 species